rnacentral:rRNA from 1 species
AACGAACGCUGGCGGCAUGCCUAACACAUGCAAGUCGAACGGGAUCCUAGCUUGCUAGGUGAGAGUGGCGGACGGGUGAGUAACACGUGGGAAUCUGCCUUUUGGUUCGGGAUAACCGCGGGAAACUGCGGCUAAUACCGAAUGCCCUCGAGAGAGGAAAGAUUUAUCGCCAGAAGAGGAGCCCGCGUCCGAUUAGGUAGUUGGUGGGUAAAGGCCUACCAAGCCGACGAUCGGUAGCUGGUCUGAGAGGAUGAUCAGCCACACUGGGACUGAGAUACGGCCCAGACUCCUACGGGAGGCAGCAGUGGGGAAUAUUGGACAAUGGGGGCAACCCUGGUCCAGCAAUGCCGCGUGAGUGAUGAAGGCCUUAGGGUUGUAAAGCUCUUUUGCCAGGGAAGGAACGGUUGAGGCUAAUAUCCUCGGCUAAUGACGGUACCUGAAGAAUAAGCACCGGCUAACUACGUGCCAGCAGCCGCGGUAAU